AGGUGAAUAUGCGGUUUGUAUUGGUCCGGUCUAGCCUCUCCCCGUCCACCCUGACUCCCGAUUCCUCUCCUCCCCAAUUCCCUCUUCUCUCCCGAUUCGCGCCGCCACCCUUCAGAUCCACCGCCGGCAACUCGCCCCCUCCACCCUCCGGCUAUCGCGGCACCACGCCCACCACCCUCCUCCACUCUCCGGCCGAAGCCCAUCUCGCCGCCUCUCCCACGAAGAUCCGGCAGCGUGGCGCUCAUCUCGGAGUUCAUCUUGUCCCGGUCCAAGACCAUCCACCGAGCUGCUCAUCCACGCCCGCCGCCCUGCUCGCCCUCCCUGCCUCCCUUCCAUGUAGAUCCAUCUCGGUGUGCGGAGCUCCUUCCCCUACGUACCAAGCCGCCGCAGUACACCGCGUCACCGGCUGCCCCACGCCCGCCGACGUCCUCUGCCUCCUCUUCGUCUGUGGAGGAUUUUGACGCCUGGCUCGCCAAUAAGCUUCUGCAGAUCCUAGUUAACUGCAACUUUUUUGGAUUAUUGAUCUCAUUAUGUGUUUCUUGUAGAACUCGGGGUCACAAUUCAUAAGGGAAGGAGAAGGACUUGGAGGAGCUCGAGUGAGCAGCAGAAAUCAGGACAGCUCAGCUCGAUGGGAAGUCAGUGACUCUACAGAUCUUUUGUUUCAGACAUACAUGUGAUUCAAACCUCUGUCAUCCGAAUAAAUGCGGUUCUAACAGGGGUGGAUUGGAAGAAAAUUGAGAUAUAGAGGGUGGGAGAGGAAACUCACCUUGAUGGCUGCGAUCCAAAAAAAAUCCGACGCAAAGAGCGGGAGCCUGCUGUCAAAAUGUCUGCUCAAAUUAGGAAAAAAAUUUUAGCACAAGCACUGAAUUUUUUUCACAAUUUCAGGCUUACUUUCAGCGAUUCUGCCGGCCAAGAGCACACAAGCCUGAGGAGGAACCGGAGAGAAGCGGACUGAAUCCAGUAGCCGCUGUCCAAUGACAACGACGCUUCUGGCCUACGGCUUCUUGAAGGCAUUGCCGUUCUCAGUCAGUCGCGGUGACCCUGUUGUGCCUCCUUCACGUGUCUCCCUCACUUCCUCAAAGCCCAGGGCAUUGGCAACAGGGUUGAGGGUUUCAUACCGUCGUAGGUGGCUACAUGUUUCUGCAUGCUCCAGUGAGGUUGAUGCGGAUGCCACGGAGUUACCGGCAGAAGCCACUUUUGAUUUAAAGCUUCCUAGAAGAAGCUUGCUUGUUCAGUUUACAUGUAAUAAAUGCGAUGCAAGGACCAAGCGUUUGAUAAACCGGGUAGCCCAUGAAAGAGGAACAGUUUUUCUUCAUGCGCAGGAUGCCAGGUGUAUCACAAGUUUGUUGACAAUCUUGGCCUAAUUGUUGAGUAUGACCUACGAGAAGAAAAUGGGAUGAACACUUGUACUGAGGACUGAUGUGUAAUUAGAAGCAAUCUAGAGGAUGAUCAACAUGGGCAGUCAGGGUUAGCAGUUGUGGUGAACAUUAUGUAACUUAUAUGUACAAAGAAACUAGAUGAAAUAAUAAUCUCUAGCAUUUGAGUGCAAAAUGCUGCUAUCUGCUUGCAUUUAAAUGCUGCUAUCUGCUUGCAUUUGGGAGUCUUCCGAUCUUUGUUUCCCUGUCUGAGAUUUAUCUUAGUGCUUUUAAUAAGCUAAUGUAAUUUUGCAUCGAU